GCCAAAGUAGCUCAGCGGUAGAGCAUCGCUUUCGUAAAGCGAGGGUCCCGGGUUCAAAUCCCGGCUUUGGCU
rnacentral:tRNA from 2 species